AAGGGCAGACUUCGGAUUCGUUUUUUAAAGGCUUUCGAGUUAUUUGUAGUCUCCUAACAACUUGCAAUGGGUUCCUUGGUGGCUGUAGCGUGUAAUUAAGGUUUAGAUGAAGCUUCCUUUAGUGUGUGGUGGGGAAGCAUAAGUGGGGAAGCAUACGAAAGAGCGGCGAAAACUACGACUUAUGGAAUCAGUCUAAUGCUAACAUUAAACACUGGAUAGCUUGAAUGAGGAGGUCACCAAUGGCGCGAGUGGGAAAGUUGCAGGAAAAAUGCCUCACAACUGCCGCUAUAGUCUUGGAAGACACGAGGAACUGAGAAGGAACUUUUCUCAUUUCUUACAGGCCAAGUCAGUGAACAUGUCAUAAAUCAGACAGAACAUCACUAUGGAAUCUCCACCAAUACUAAGGUGAGCAGUAGUGUCGAGUCAGUACCAGUGUUUGGCACCGAAACAAAGCCAGAAAUAAAACAACCUAAACUCGCACAUCGUUCUAUAAUCUGGUCGAAUGCAGCUAUCCCCGUGUUGCAAAACUACGUCUCGGGAGCCGCACCAGCAUUCGGGAACAUUCCAGAAGGAUACGAUAUUAUAGAAAUGUAUAGAACAUCGCGUAACAGUGCAGAUCCUAACCAUUCUGGUGUCUACGUACAUUGAUGGAGAAAAUUAUUGGCCUGUCAAGAUAAGGCACCGAUUUACAGGUAGCAUAAAGUGGAUAAAACUACACGAAGACGAACAUUCAAUCAGAACCAUUGCCGAGGAGACAACGUACAGCUGUGGACCAGUAAAAGCAAUGUAAUAUCGAUAGCCUAGAGUAAUCCAUCCGCUUCAUAUUAAUUCAAAAUCGCUUUUUCUUAUAAUAUCGUGGAUUAUUUCUUAUUUAGAGGAAAGCUUUUUAGAUUUGGUCGCAUCAUUCGGAUGAGUGGUCCCCUCAAUUCAACCAUUUCUUUUGUUCGAAACCUCAAGUGUUGAUAUUGAGUUGUAAAUCGAGUUAGUUUAGUUAUGGUAAUAAGAAAAUAGUGUCUAGUCGUUCUAGCGGUUUCGCACUAAUAGACCUCCUCGGCUUUGGAGCGUUCGAGCGUAAUGUUGUCCCAUUUCAGAACACUUGUCAUUCCCUUGAGAAUAAUAUUCUUUGAGUUGUAUCCAUAUUCAUGUGUCUUCUCAUGUGCAACCGAGCGCAAACCUUAAACAAAGAAAUGAUACACGUUGUCUGAAAUGGGACAUUACGUCAGAGCCAAUAUGGUUUAUUGGGGGAACCUUUUCGCACACACGCACUACCACUGCAUUUAAUAUUCUAUGCACACAACGCUAAACUCACAGAGACGUUUCUGCGUUCCUUAAAUCAUGAGAGCAUCGGGAAACAUGAAAAAAGAGGGCAAAAACUAUAGAGAUAUGUACUUAUGAGUACAUAAGUGUACUACUAUAGCAGUCGACCGAUCAAAAACCGGUCAGAGAAGUAAUCUGAGAUUACCGAGAAACAAAACAAAAAGCUCGGCAGAUUUUGAGUAUGUGCUGUGAUCUUACGUUUUAUGUCUUGAUGUAUGGUGAAUUAAGAGUUCCAGUUUGUUAAUGGUAAA
rnacentral:lncRNA from 1 species